GACGAACGCUGGCGGCGUGCUUAACACAUGCAAGUCGGACGGAAAGGCCCUGCUUUUGUGGGGUGCUCGAGUGGCGAACGGGUGAGUAACACGUGAGUAACCUGCCCUUGACUUUGGGAUAACUUCAGGAAACUGGGGCUAAUACCGGAUAGGAGCUCCUGCUGCAUGGUGGGGGUUGGAAAGUUUCGGCGGUUGGGGAUGGACUCGCGGCUUAUCAGCUUGUUUGUGGGGUAGUGGCUUACCAAGGCUUUGACGGGUAGCCGGCCUGAGAGGGUGACCGGCCACAUUGGGACUGAGAUACGGCCCAGACUCCUACGGGAGGCAGCAGUGGGGAAUAUUGCACAAUGGGCGGAAGCCUGAUGCAGCAACGCCGCGUGCGGGAUGACGGCCUUCGGGUUGUAAACCGCUUUCGCCUGUGACGAAGCGUGAGUGACGGUAAUGGGUAAAGAAGCACCGGCUAACUACGUG
rnacentral:rRNA from 1 species